GACGAACGCUGGCGGCGUGCCUAAUACAUGCAAGUCGAGCGAAGUUUUUCUGGUGCUUGCACUAGAAAAACUUAGCGGCGAACGGGUGAGUAACACGUAAAGAACCUGCCUCAUAGACUGGGACAACUAUUGGAAACGAUAGCUAAUACCGGAUAACAGUAUUUCUCGCAUGAGAGAUAUUAAAAAGUUGGUUAUGCUAAAACUAUGAGAUGGUUUUGCGUUGCAUUAGCUAGUUGGUGGGGUAAAGGCCCACCAAGGCGACGAUGCAUAGCCGACCUGAGAGGGUGAUCGGCCACACUGGGACUGAGACACGGCCCAGACUCCUACGGGAGGCAGCAGUAGGGAAUCUUCCGCAAUGGGCGAAAGCCUGACGGAGCAACGCCGCGUGAGUGAAGAAGGAUUUCGGUUCGUAAAGCUCUGUUGUUAGGGAAGAAUGGAUAUGUAGUAACUAUACAUGUAAGAGACGGUACCUAACCAGAAAGCCACGGCUAACUACGUG
rnacentral:rRNA from 1 species